rnacentral:lncRNA from 1 species
AGAUGGUCCCCGAGCUCCCGGAGAUCCUCAAUGAAAGGAUUCCGCGGCUCUGCCUCUAUUAUUAUACCGUAAAUCUUUUUAAAUUCUGGAACUAAUUAUAUAGAGGAUAUGUCUCAAUUUGUUCUGCAUUAAUGCCACAGUGGGGAUGGAGGCCAGGCUGUGGCCAGAGCAGAUACGUAGGCCCAUGAAAUUGAUGAACUGAGAGUUGCUUCCAGUCCUGAGCGCACCAUCUGGAAUUCCAGUCUGAGGUUACAAUUAGAACUCCUGACCCCAGAUUCAACUUUGCAAACAAC